UCCUUGCAUCAAAGAACUUUCUCUUAACAAUGAAUAAAGACCAUUGUAGAAAACCAGUACUGAUGUCAAAGCAGAAUUAAUGUACCUUGAGGAGGCAAGCACAAAGGUAUACAUCCUGAAAUCUCAUGGGAUCCCAACUCUAGAGAAACAACUGCAGAUCUAACUUUUCAAAUAUGAUUAUGCAACAUGGAGUAACCUUAGAAACCAAUAUGGUCAUUGCAACAGAGGGAAAGAGAAGAGAAUAUAAAGAAGACUAGAAAAUGAAGAUGAGAUCCUAUGGCUAAAAGUACUUCGGACACAAGACCUGCUCAAAUCAAGCUACAACUGACCUGGAAUCUUCCUGAGGACCUGGCAUGGUAUUCAAAGAAAAGUGCAGCUCUCGUCUCUCAUCAAAAGAAGCAUUUUUUCUUUGUUUUAUCCUGAAAGCAAAUGGAAAAUGAAUUGGCUAAUUUUAUGUCAUCUUGACACAGCUGGAAUUAUCU